rnacentral:rRNA from 1 species
CCCCUCGUGUCUGGGAUAGCUGAGGGAAACGUUCAGGUAAUACCAGGUGACAUUCUCUUUUCGCAUGAAGAGAGACUCAAAGGGAAACCGCAAAGGGAGCGGGCGAUAUCGUAUCAGCUAGUUGGUGAGGUAACGGCUUACCAAGGCAAUGACGCGUAGCCGGACUGAGAGGUCGGUCGGCCACAUUGGGACUGAGACACUGCCCAG